GGCUCUGGCUGUACCAUCCUUAAUGCUUCAGAUUUCAUUUGACUCAGAAGCUAAUCAAGAUUGGGCCUACUUAGUACUUGGAUGAGAAACAUCUAGAAAUAUCAGGUGCUAGAGGCU
rnacentral:rRNA from 1 species